rnacentral:rRNA from 1 species
GACGAACGCUGGCGGCGUGCUUAACACAUGCCAGUCGAACGGUGAAGGGACCAGCUUGCUGGUUCUGGGUGAGUGGCGAACGGGUGAGUAACACGUGAGUAACCUGCCCCCUUCUUCUGGAUAACCGCAUGAAAGUGUGGCUAAUACGGGAUAUUCUGGGUCUGUCGCAUGGCGGGCCCGGGAAAGAUAUUGCUUCGGUGGGGGUUGGGCUCGCGGCCGAUCAGCUUGUUGGUGGGGUGAUGGCCUACCAAGGCGGUGACGGGUAGCCGGCCUGAGAGGGGGGACGGUCACACCGGGACUGAGACACGGCCCAGACUCCUACGGGAGGCAGCAGUGGGGAAUAUUGCACAAUGGGCGCAAGCCUGAUGCAGCGACGCCGGGUGAGGGAUGGAGGCCUUCGGGUUGUAAACCUCUUUCGCCAGUGAAGCAGGCCUGCUCCUUGUGGGUGGGUUGACGGUAGCUGGAUAAGAAGCGCCGGCUAACUACGUG